rnacentral:lncRNA from 1 species
UUUUUUUCUGCCUACGGCUACUGAUUUUUAUGGUGUCAUGUUGUAUUCUUGUGAUAUAACCCAUUAUCCGCCUUGUAUGUUAUGUUAUCUUCUCCGUCUUGCGAUAUAACCCAUUCUUCUGAUAUUAAACACUGAAAACGUUUUUUGUUGGUUCUGAAUCGUGUUGUUAGAAUGGUUGGUGGUGGAAGCAUAAGGGAUGAGUAUUCGUUGGUAAUUUCCAACACCAACGUUUUUGCAGCGCUUGAUACUUUGAAGAAGAAGAAGAAAUUAGACAAGGAUGAAUGA